rnacentral:rRNA from 1 species
GACGAACGCUGGCGGCGUGCCUAAUACAUGCAAGUCGAGCGAAGUUUUUCCGGUGCUUGCACUAGAAAAACUUAGCGGCGAACGGGUGAGUAACACGUAAAGAACCUGCCUCAUAGACUGGGACAACUAUUGGAAACGAUAGCUAAUACCGGAUAACAGUAUUUCUCGCAUGAGAGAUAUUUAAAAGUUGGUUAUGCUAACACUAUGAGAUGGCUUUGCGGUGCAUUAGCCAGUUGGUGGGGUAAAGGCCCACCAAGGCGACGAUGCAUAGCCGACCUGAGAGGGUGAUCGGCCACACUGGGACUGAGACACGACCCAGACUCCUACGGGAGGCAGCAGUAGGGAAUCUUCCGCAAUGGGCGAAAGCCUGACGGAGCAACGCCGCGUGAGUGAAGAAGGAUUUCGGUUCGUAAAGCUCUGUUGUUAGGGAAGAAUGGAUAUGUAGUAACUAUACAUGUAAGAGACGGUACCUAACCAGAAAGCCACGGCUAACUACGUG